AUACUUACCGGGCAGGGGAGACCCCCUGAUCACGUAGGUGGUUUUCCCAGGGCGAGGCUCAGCCACCGCACUUCGGCUGUAUUGACCCCUGCGAUUUCCCCAAAUGCGGGAAACUCGACUGCAUAAUUUGUGGUAGUGGGGAACUGCGUUCCGCGCUCUCCCCUC